GGACCAGUACUCAAGAGGCUGAAGAGGGCGCACUGCUAACGCGCUAGGGGACUAAUAAUCCCGCGCAGGUUCAAAUCCUGUCUGGUCCG
rnacentral:tRNA from 2 species